GACGAACGCUGGCGGCGUGCUUAACACAUGCAAGUCGAACGAUGAACCGGGUGCUUGCACUUGGGGAUUAGUGGCGAACGGGUGAGUAACACGUGAGUAACCUGCCCUGGACUCUGGGAUAACCCCGAGAAAUCGGAGCUAAUACCGGAUAGGACCUUUCCUCGCAUGAGGUUUGGUGGAAAGUUUUUCGGUCUGGGAUGGACUCGCGGCCUAUCAGCUUGUUGGUGAGGUAAUGGCUCACCAAGGCGUCGACGGGUAGCCGGCCUGAGAGGGUGACCGGCCACACUGGGACUGAGACACGGCCCAGACUCCUACGGGAGGCAGCAGUGGGGAAUAUUGCACAAUGGGCGCAAGCCUGAUGCAGCAACGCCGCGUGCGGGAUGACGGCCUUCGGGUUGUAAACCGCUUUUAGUAGGGAAGAAGGGCUUCGGCUUGACGGUACCUGUAGAAAAAGGACCGGCUAACUACGUGCCAGCAGCCGCCGUAACAC
rnacentral:rRNA from 1 species